UACAGAGGUCUCAAGCGUUGUUCGGAUUCAUUGGGCGUAAAGGGUGCGUAGGUGGCGGGGCAAGUCAGGUGUGAAAUCUCGGGGCUCAACCCCGAAACUGCACUUGAUACUGCCUUGCUCGAGUACUGGAGAGGAGACUGGAAUUUACGGUGUAGCAGUGAAAUGCGUAGAUAUCGUAAGGAAGACCAGUGGCGAAGGCGUGUCUCUGGACAGUUACUGACACUGAGGCACGAAGGCCAGGGGAGCAAACGGG
rnacentral:rRNA from 1 species